UACGUAGGCAGCAAGCGUUGUUCGGAAUUACUGGGCGUAAAGAGUGUGUAGGCGGUGCUCUAAGUCUGUUGUGAAAUCUCCCGGCUUAACCGGGAGGGUGCGGCGGAAACUGGAGUGCUUGAGGGUGGGAGAGGUAAGCGGAAUUCCUGGUGUAGUGGUGAAAUGCGUAGAUAUCGGGAGGAACACCAGUGGCGAAGGCGACUACCUGGCCUGUUCUUGACGCUGAGGCGCGAAAGCUAGGGGAGCAAACGGG
rnacentral:rRNA from 1 species